rnacentral:rRNA from 1 species
CCUACGGGUGGCUGCAGUGGGGAAUAUUGCACAAUGGGCGCAAGCCUGAUGCAGCCAUGCCGCGUGUGUGAAGAAGGCCUUCGGGUUGUAAAGCACUUUCAGCGGGGAGGAAGGCGGUGAGGUUAAUAACCUCAUCGAUUGACGUUACCCGCAGAAGAAGCACCGGCUAACUCCGUGCCAGCAGCCGCGGUAAUACAGAGGGUGCAAGCGUUAAUCGGAAUUACUGGGCGUAAAGCGCACGCAGGCGGUCUGUCAAGUCGGAUGUGAAAUCCCCGGGCUCAACCUGGGAACUGCAUUCGAAACUGGCAGGCUAGAGGCUUGUAGAGGGGGGUAGAAUUCCAGGUGUAGCGGUGAAAUGCGUAGAGAUCUGGAGGAAUACCGGUGGCGAAGGCGGCCCCCUGGACAAAGACUGACGCUCAGGUGCGAAAGCGUGGGGAGCAAACAGGAUUAGAUACCCGAGUAGUC